rnacentral:rRNA from 1 species
AUGCAAGUCGAACGGUAACAGGCCGCUGUGAUCCCUUCGGGGUGAACUUGGCGCUGACGAGUGGCGGACGGGUGAGUAACGCUUGGGAAUCUGCCCAGUAGUGGGGGACAACCCGGGGAAACUCGGGCUAAUACCGCAUACGUCCUACGGGAGAAAGGGGGCCUCUUCUUGAAAGCUCUCGCUAUUGGAUGAGCCCAAGUCGGAUUAGCUUGUUGGUGAGGUAAAGGCUCACCAAGGCGACGAUCCGUAGCUGGUCUGAGAGGACGAUCAGCCACACUGGGACUGAGACACGGCCCAGACUCCUACGGGAGGCAGCAGUGGGGAAUAUUGGACAAUGGGGGCAACCCUGAUCCAGCAAUGCCGCGUGUGUGAAGAAGGCCUGCGGGUUGUAAAGCACUUUCAGUAGAGAAGAAAAGCCUGAGGUUAAUACCCUCGAGUCCUGACGUAACCUACAGAAGAAGCACCGGCUAACUCCGUGCCAGCAGCCGCGGUAAUACGGAGGGUGCGAGCGUUAAUCGGAAUUACUGGGCGUAAAGCGCGCGUAGGCGGCUGGGUCAGUCGGAUGUGAAAGCCCCGGGCUUAACUUGGGAAUUGCAUUCGAAACUGCCUGGCUAGAGUAUGGGAGAGGGAAGUGGAAUUUCC